AUAGAAGUGAUGACCAUAGAAUUGUGAUUGAUGAGAGUCAGAAGCAAUGAUUGGGUUAUUCAAGGUAAAGGAAAAACGAAGAGAGCAAGCUCAAAAUGCUAACAGCGGUUGUGUUAUCUCACUUGAAAAGCACCAGGACUAGCAGCGACACACGAAGGUGCUCUCAUGAUUGUGGGAAACAACGUAGGAGUUACAAUAGGACACUCAAUUUUUGCUCUGACAAUACAAUGGGGAGCUUGCGUUGUCUUUGUUUUGACCAGUCCUAAUCCAGAUCCGUCAAUCAGAAGAGAAUCAUCCAUCAAAAGAACAACCUCGAAGCAAGCGUAGAGGCGGAUCCUAAGAACAAGAAACCUGCAGGGAUUAUGCUACUGACUCUAAUUCCAUUUCUCUUGGUGACAUUGCCUGAUUUAUUUGAUGCACAACCUUGGAGUGACAUCAUUAUGUUGAUCACACUCAUAAUCUCAUGUUCUUCAACCAUUAUC